rfam:Culex pipiens quinquefasciatus supercont3.487 genomic scaffold, whole genome shotgun sequence.
GGUCCGGUGGCGCAGUGGCUAGCGUGGUAGCCUCUCGCCCCAGUAUGGCCUGGGUUCAAUCCCAGACGGACCC